rnacentral:rRNA from 2 species
GUAAUAGCUCACUGGUCGAGUCGGCCUGCGCGGAAGAUGUAACGGGGCUAAACCAUGCACCGAAGCUGCGGCAGCGACACUGUGUGUUGUUGGGUAGGGGAGCGUUCUGUAAGCCUGUGAAGGUGGCCUGUGAGGGUUGCUGGAGGUAUCAGAAGUGCGAAUGCUGACAUAAGUAACGAUAAAGCGGGUGAAAAGCCCGCUCGCCGGAAGACCAAGGGUUCCUGUCCAACGUUAAUCGGGGCAGGGUGAGUCGACCCCUAAGGCGAGGCCGAAAGGCGUAGUCGAUGGGAAACGGGUUAAUAUUCCCGUACUUGGUGUUACUGCGAAGGGGGGACGGAGAAGGCUAUGUUGGCCGGGCGACGGUUGUCCCGGUUUAAGCGUGUAGGUGUGUGUUCCAGGUAAAUCCGGUUCACUUUAACACUGAGGCGUGACGACGAGGCACUACGGUGCUGAAGCAACAAAUGCCCUGCUUCCAGGAAAAGCCUCUAAGCAUCAGGUAACAUCAAAUC